GUAAAAGGGGACGCGGAGGAGAAGGAAAGUCGCUCAAGCAGUGGACAGAGCGGAGAAAGCGACUUCGGGUCUGCUGGAGUUUGCUGGAGGUGCACUCCAGACUCUGUUUGCCUGCCUAUCACCAACAGAGGCUGCAGAACAGCAAAGAUUGCUGUCUGUAACUUCCUCUGGAAGCUUCAUCCCAGAGGGGCACCUGCCAGAUGCCAGCCGGAGCUCUCCUCUAUGAGUUCAGCCUGAGAAAACUCCUGAGCAUGUGCGAAAAAGAAAAGAAGAAAAGAAAAGUAAAGAAAAGAAAAAAGGAAAAAGGGCAAGCUCCUGAGUGGAUCUCUCAGGGAGCCACCAGACAGCCGCAGAGAGAAGAAGCUGCCCAAGAAUGGAAAGGAAGAAAUAUAUCACAUCAUCUGUCUGUCCACAGGCUUUCCUUGGGGCUUAUGAAGUGAAUGAAGGAGGGAAGAAAGGAGAGACAGAGAAAAUAUGGAUUUCCUCAUGGUUGUGAUUCCUCUUCACUCUUUUGAAUUUGGAAGGAUGGCAUACACAUCUGAAAAAUAGUAUUUGUGUCAGAGUAAGAAAUCUCUUUCUAGAUGUUUUUGCCAUAAAGUCAUAUUUCUGUGUUUUGGACAUCGCAUUUUGUGGUCAUAAAAUGGAAGUGAUUGUAAGGCCACGUAUUCAGCACAAUGACCUUGAUCCUGAAUGAAGUGGAGAGAGGAGAGAGAGAACAGCGUGACUAACAGCUCUUGUUGAAGCACAAGUAACUUUUUAUGUUCCACUCCACAAUGAUGAAAAAGUAAACACAGAGACAGGUUUUAGAUGUUGAUGGCUUUAUAUCAAAGUGAAAUAUAUUUGUCAUGUUCCAAAGUUACCUUCAUUAUCAUUAUUUUUAGAGGAAUGGUUAAAAGCAUAGGCUCUGGAAUCAAACAGCUUGGGUUCAAAUCUUGGAUCUUUCACUUCUUAGCUGCAUGACCUUCAUUAAGUUCUCAUCUGUAAAAAUAGGGAAAAUACGAGAAACUACUUCAUGGGAUUGUUACAAAGAUAAAGUGCAAUAAUGCAUGUGUCUGGCAUAGAGUAAGCUCUUUCAGUGUCAGUUAGUAUUAGCAUAAUUAAGUGCAGAAUGUUUGUAAAAUGUUAUCUAAAUUGUACUAUACUCGACCUGGUUUAAAGUAAGUGAAUGGAUAUCUGUGAAACUUUCUGACAUGUGCUAAAAUACAUUGCAGCCUUCAUUAAAUCUCAUUUGAAUAGUU
rnacentral:lncRNA from 1 species